GAGGUGGAGACGAGACUGCGUUGAGCAGAGCAUCCGUGAUAACAGAUCAUAAAAACACAGCAAGCAGCAUGCCGUUUGGGAUGGUAACGCGUUCCACUGUCAGAUAUAAGCACUGAACAAAUCUCCAAAGCGGAGGGUAAUGAUGACAUCACAUAAUCAGACUGACACAGUGUGAUCCAUCAUUCCUGGCCUGACGUUGACAUGGCAACAGGCAGGAAGGGGUCGACCUCGAAGGGGAGGAAGCGUGCGUU